GAACGUACCCGCGUCUACCGGCGCUUGAAAAUGACGUCACAGUUGUUAUAAAUACAGCCCUCCUGUGUCGUCACAUCCUCUUUCCAUUGCCCUUUUCGUUGCGAGACUCUUCUCCACACGAUGAGAGCUAAGUGGAGGAAGAAGCGCAUGCGCAGGCUGAAGCGUAAAAGGAGAAAGAUGAGGCAGAGGUCAAAGUAAAUCAUCGGGCCAGCCGCAACCUUGUCGGACUUUCUUGUAGGGCUGAAUCGGAUGCACUGGGCCACCUCCAACUCGGCCUCUGACGGCCGUGCGCCUCGUCCGACUUCCUGUGAACGUCUCCAAGAUGGCACCGGGCGGAGCUGCUGCAGCCUUUUUUGGUUCAUGGACCAUGAAACGUCUUGUUGAUCUGGCAACUGUCAUGUGGUGUAUUGAACAAUAAAUGAACACUGUUCCAAACUUUA